rnacentral:pre_miRNA from 1 species
GUAGUACUCCCUUCAUCUCAAAAAUUUUGUCUUAGAUUUGUGUAAAUACGGAUGUAUCAAGUCAAGUUUUAGUAUUAAAUACAUUCGUAUCUAGAAAAAUAUAAGACAAGAAUUUUGGGACGGAGGAAGUAUCUC